GAUGAACGCUGGCGGCGUGCCUAAUACAUGCAAGUCGAGCGAACAGAUGAGGAGCUUGCUCCUCUGACGUUAGCGGCGGACGGGUGAGUAACACGUGGAUAACCUACCUAUAAGACUGGGAUAACUUCGGGAAACCGGAGCUAAUACCGGAUAAUAUAUUGAACCGCAUGGUUCAAUAGUGAAAGACGGUUUUGCUGUCACUUAUAGAUGGAUCCGCGCCGCAUUAGCUAGUUGGUAAGGUAACGGCUUACCAAGGCAACGAUGCGUAGCCGACCUGAGAGGGUAAUCGGCCACACGGAACUGGGAAACGGUCCAGACUCCCACGGGAGGCAGGCGGUGGGAAUCCUUCGGCAUUGGGCGAAGCCUUACCGGGGAACGGCGCGGGAGGUAAGAAGGGCCUCGGAUUGGAAAACCCCGUUUUUAGGGAAGAACAAAUGUGUAAGUAACUAUGCACGUCUUGACGGUACCUAAUCAGAAAGCCACGGCUAACUACGUG
rnacentral:rRNA from 1 species